GAUGAAGAACGUAGCGAAAUGCGAUAAGUAAUGUGAAUUGCAGAAUUCAGUGAAUCAUCGAAUCUUUGAACGCUCAUUGCGCCCCUUGGUAUUCCGAGGGGCAUGCCUGUUCGAGCGUCAUUAUCACCCCUCAAGCUUUGCUUGGUGUUGGGGCCUGCUGUAAUAGGCAGCCCUUAAAAUCAGUGGCGGUGCUUCAAGGCUCUAAGCGUAGUAAUUCUCCUCGCUAUAGUGUCUAGUGGUUGCCAGCCAGAACCCCCCAAUUUUCAUGAUUGACCUCGGAUCAGGUAGGGAUACCCGCUGAACUUAAGCAUAUCAAUAAGCGGAGGA
rnacentral:misc_RNA from 1 species